CCUACGGGGGGCAGCAGUGGGGAAUAUUGGACAAUGGGGGCAACCCUGAUCCAGCCAUGCCGCGUGUGUGAAGAAGGCCCUCGGGUUGUAAAGCACUUUCAGUGAGGAAGAACGCCUGGUGGUUAAUACCCAUCAGGAAAGACAUCACUCACAGAAGAAGCACCGGCUAACUCCGUGCCAGCAGCCGUGGUAAUACGGAGGGUGCGAGCGUUAAUCGGAAUUACUGGGCGUAAAGCGCGCGUAGGUGGCUUGAUAAGCCGGUUGUGAAAGCCCCGGGCUCAACCUGGGAACGGCAUCCGGAACUGUCAAGCUAGAGUGCAGGAGAGGAAGGUAGAAUUCCCGGUGUAGCGGUGAAAUGCGUAGAGAUCGGGAGGAAUACCAGUGGCGAAGGCGGCCUUCUGGACUGACACUGACACUGAGGUGCGAAAGCGUGGGUAGCAAACAGGAUUAGAUACCCGGGUAGUC
rnacentral:rRNA from 1 species